rnacentral:rRNA from 1 species
ACUCAAAUGAAUUGACGGGGACCCGCACAAGCAGUGGAGUAUGUGGUUUAAUUCGACGCAACGCGAAGAACCUUACCAGGGUUUGACAUCCAACUAACGAAGCAGAGAUGCAUUAGGUGCCCUUCGGGGAAAGUUGAGACAGGUGGUGCAUGGUUGUCGUCAGCUCGUGUCGUGAGAUGUUGGGUUAAGUCCCGCAACGAGCGCAACCCUUAUUGUUAGUUGCUACGCAAGAGCACUCUAGCGAGACUGCCGUUGAUAAAACGGAGGAAGGUGGGGACGACGUCAAAUCAUCAUGCCCUUUAUAUCCUGGGCUACACACGUACUACAAUGGCGAAAACAGAGGGAAGCGAAAUAGCGAUAUGGAGCAAAACCCUAAAUAUCGUCUCAGUUCAGAUUGCAGGCUGCAACCCGCCUGCAUGAAGGUGGAAUUGCUAGUAAUCGCGGAUCAGCACGCCGCGGUGAAUACGUUCCCGGGUCUUGUACACACCGCCCGU